rnacentral:rRNA from 1 species
UACGGAGGAUGCGAGCGUUAUCCGGAUUUAUUGGGUUUAAAGGGUGCGUAGGCGGGCCGGUAAGUCAGCGGUAAAAUAGCGGGGCUCAACCCCGUCGAGCCGUUGAAACUGGCGUUCUUGAGUGAGUGAGAGGUAUGCGGAAUGCGUGGUGUAGCGGUGAAAUGCAUAGAUAUCACGCAGAACCCCGAUUGCGAAGGCAGCAUACCGGUGCUCAACUGACGCUGAAGCUCGAAAGUGUGGGUAUCAAACAGG